GGGAACUGUGAGACAGGUGCUGCAUGGCUGUCGUCAGCUCGUGUUGUGAAAUGUUGGGUUAAGUCCCGCAACGAGCGCAACCCUUAUCCUUUGUUGCCAGCGGUCCGGCCGGGAACUCAAAGGAGACUGCCAGUGAUAAACUGGAGGAAGGUGGGGAUGACGUCAAGUCAUCAUGGCCCUUACGACCAGGGCUACACACGUGCUACAAUGGCGCAUACAAAGAGAAGCGACCUCGCGAGAGCAAGCGGACCUCAUAAAGUGCGUCGUAGUCCGGAUUGGAGUCUGCAACUCGACUCCAUGAAGUCGGAAUCGCUAGUAAUCGUGGAUCAGAAUGCCACGGUGAAUACGUUCCCGGGCCUUGUACACACCGCCCGUCACACCAUGGGAGUGGGUUGCAAAAGAAGUAGGUAGCUUAACCUUCGGGAGGGCGCUUACCACUUUGUGAUUCAUGACUGGGGUGAAGUCGUAACAAGGUAACCGUAGGGGAACCUGCGGCUGGAUCACCUC
rnacentral:rRNA from 1 species